UGUGGACUCAAUGCGCACCGAGCGCAGUCCAACUUUCUUGGUAUUAACGUCUACCAAGCCCCCUGCAAAAGAGGUGCGUAUUUCAAGAUCGUAAAGGAACGGAUCUGUCGGCGACCACAAGUGUGGGU
rnacentral:rRNA from 1 species